rnacentral:tRNA from 1 species
GUUAAGGUGGCAGAGCCCGGUUAAUGCAAAAGUCCUAAGCCCUUUAGACGAAGGUUCAAGUCCUUCCUUUAACU